rnacentral:lncRNA from 10 species
CGGCGCGUGGCCUGAGGCGGAGAGCCGGGCUGCGGGGGUCCGGGCCAGGCCAGGCGCCGGCCUGACCCGCCUCGCCGGCAAGAGCAGGCCGGGCUUCCUCCUCCCUUGGCGGGCGGGGGAGGGAAAGGGGGAUCCUGGCCGGGGGUAAGGGGGAAAGGUGGUCCUGAUUCUCCCUGUGCCACCGCCACAAAGCUGAUCCUGGCCUCCUGCGGAGAAGCCUGAGCGCCUUCCCGCAGACCUGACGCGACCCCCUCCCAGGUACCUGGGCCUCGGCCUGGUCUAGCGAGUCCCCUUCCUCCCAAGGAGCAGCCGGCGGAGCUCGGGUGGAGGAAAGCGAGGAGGCGACCAGGAGGAUGCCGCCGCCGCCGCCGCAGGGCCCGGGGCUUCUGCAGGGCGCAAGGCCUCCCUCACCAGGGCAGAAGAAAGAAGCGGAGCCGAGCCGAGCCGCCGAGUCCCUCCCCCCGGAGCCCCGGAGCCCCGGCGCCUGCCUGGGCGGUCCCGGCCGCGCAGACAGAAAAGAAGCCGGGAAUCUGCGGGGCUGGGGGGCGGGGAGCGACACCAAAGGCCAGAAACUGCAGCACGGCCCGAGGCCCUGGCGAGCUGGGCCUGGGGGAGGAGAAGUCCCUUCCCAUUCCAGCUCGAUCAAUCUUGCUGGGCUGCGAUCGGUCAAUAAAAACGGUGUGAAGCG